AGAGUCAGACUAGAACCACACCAUUGACUUUCCUGGGAAUCCAGCUGGCUGACUUCAGAUCUUGGGACUUCUCAGUUUUCAAAUCAUCCCUUUCCAAGUGUGAACCCAGGGGAGACCUUUGCAAACUGAAGUCAUGAAGCAGGUUACAUGAGGUAGACCCACCUCCUGACAGCUGUCUCCAUAGACACAGCCUGGUUUUGGUCUCCAUCCCUUACCUAGCACUCAAGACCUCAUCCACUCCAGGCCCACACUGGAAAGCAGGGUUUUCAUGUCUCCUACCUAUCCUUGCCUCGUAGUACUAGCUGAGGGACAUGGUCUUUCUAAAGGAUCUCGGAACGUAAACAGCCCAUUCAUCUCUCUGGAUGCUUGAGGUUCCCUUUUGGAAUCAAGCGGAGCCAUCAGAAGGUCAAUGGACUAUGUUUUGCCACAGUCCUGUGCAGAAUCAGGCUGGGUUAUGCCCUCACUCUCUGUCCCACGUUGAGACGGCAUUGUGAAUAUUGUUCACUAUAUCACACACUGCCUCCUGUGUGAAGCCCGUGGAAGAGAUUCUUUUAGAACUAUCCUGGAGAAAUAAGUAUGGAUUGGCUUUCCUUUGUACUGUGGCUGCCAGGAAACUGGAAGUCACACUUGAAACGGUACCAUAGCAGCCAGUGAGACUUUAUGGUCUGGGUUUUGGGCUCUGUGUUCUUUCCCCAUUAUGUAUAGUUUCUCUCAUUCUUACUCUUUAUGCUAAUGAACUCAGUCAUGGGAUAUGAUUGAAAUAAGAAAGUGUCUGGUACUGUAAAAGUUAAUUUGCGAAGUAAUAAUAAUAACAAUAAUAAGUAA